rnacentral:snRNA from 1 species
AUGCCUUAAACUUAUAAAUAAGAAAAAUAAUGAUUUGGUAGAUGCCUGAAUCCUUACUGCUAUUGUGAGAUGAAUUUGGGGGCAGGUUUGCCCCUAAGGUGAUCCCCCUACUUUGCAGAAUGGCAAACUAAUUCAGGCUUG